rnacentral:rRNA from 1 species
AUUGAACGCUGGCGGCAUGCCUUACACAUGCAAGUCGAACGGCAGCGGGGACUUCGGCCCGCCGGCGAGUGGCGAACGGGUGAGUUAUGUAUCGGAACGUACCAUUCAGUGGGGGAUAACUAUCCGAAAGGAUAGCUAAUACCGCAUAUUCUGUGAGCAGGAAAGCAGGGGAUCGCAAGACCUUGCGCUGAUUGAGCGGCCGAUAUCAGAUUAGCUAGUUGGUGAGGUAACGGCUCACCAAGGCGACGAUCUGUAGCGGGUCUGAGAGGAUGAUCCGCCACACUGGAACUGAGACACGGUCCAGACUCCUACGGGAGGCAGCAGUGGGGAAUUUUGGACAAUGGGGGCAACCCUGAUCCAGCCAUGCCGCGUGAGUGAAGAAGGCCUUCGGGUUGUAAAGCUCUUUCGGCCGGGAAGAAAUCGCACGGGCUAAUACCCUGUGUGGAUGACGGUACCGGAAUAAGAAGCACCGGCUAACUACGUGCCAGCAGCCGCGGUAAUAC